rnacentral:rRNA from 1 species
GACGAACGCUGGCGGCGUGCUUAACACAUGCAAGUCGAACGGAAAGGCCCUGCUUUUGUGGGGUGCUCGAGUGGCGAACGGGUGAGUAACACAUGAGUAACCUGCCCUUGACUUUGGGAUAACUUCAGGAAACUGGGGCUAAUACCGGAUAGGAGCUCCUGCUGCAUGGUGGGGGUUGGAAAGUUUCGGCGGUUGGGGAUGGACUCGCGGCUUAUCAGCUUGUUGGUGGGGUAGUGGCUUACCAAGGUUUUGACGGGUAGCCGGCCUGAGAGGGUGACCGGCCACAUUGGGACUGAGAUACGGCCCAGACUCCUACGGGAGGCAGCAGUGGGGAAUAUUGCACAAUGGGCGGAAGCCUGAUGCAGCAACGCCGCGUGCGGGAUGACGGCCUUCGGGUUGUAAACCGCUUUCGCCUGUGACGAAGCGUGAGUGACGGUAAUGGGUAAAGAAGCACCGGCUAACUACGUG